GCAAACUUGGUCAUUUAGAGGAAGUAAAAGUCGUAACAAGGUUUCCGUAGGUGAACCUGCGGAAGGAUCAUUAUUGAAAAAGCAAAGAAAGAAGAAAUUGGUUGAUGCUGGCCAAUUGUGUAUGUGCACACCAGUCUCUUUUUCUUUAUCCUUACUAUACCCUUGUGCAUCUUUGUAGACCUAGCGUUAUAGGUCUAUGUCAUUUUUAUAUACAUUAUGAAUGAUAUUGAUAAAAGCUUUAUAAAAAGCUAUAAAUGAAUACAACUUUCAACAACGGAUCUCUUGGCUCUCGCAUCGAUGAAGAACGCAGC
rnacentral:misc_RNA from 1 species